rnacentral:rRNA from 1 species
CGUAACAAGGUCUCCGUUGGUGAACCAGCGGAGGGAUCAUUACCGAGUUUACAACUCCCAAACCCCUGUGAACAUACCAAUUGUUGCCUCGGCGGAUCAGCCCGCUCCCGGUAAAACGGGACGGCCCGCCAGAGGACCCCUAAACUCUGUUUCUAUAUGUAACUUCUGAGUAAAACCAUAAAUAAAUCAAAACUUUCAACAACGGAUCUCUUGGUUCUGGCAUCGAUGAAGAACGCAGCAAAAUGCGAUAAGUAAUGUGAAUUGCAGAAUUCAGUGAAUCAUCGAAUCUUUGAACGCACAUUGCGCCCGCCAGUAUUCUGGCGGGCAUGCCUGUUCGAGCGUCAUUUCAACCCUCAAGCCCAGCUUGGUGUUGGGACUCGCGAGUCAAAUCGCGUUCCCCAAAUUGAUUGGCGGUCACGUCGAGCUUCCAUAGCGUAGUAGUAAAACCCUCGUUACUGGUAAUCGUCGCGGCCACGCCGUUAAACCCCAACUUCUGAAUGUUGACCUCGGAUCAGGUAGGAAUACCCGCUGAACUUAAGCAUAUCAGCAAAAGAAACCAACAGGGAUUGCCCUAGUAACGGCGAGUGAAGCGGCAACAGCUCAAAUUUGAAAUCUGGCUCUCGGGCCCGAGUUGUAAUUUGUAGAGGAUACUUUUGAUGCGGUGCCUUCCGAGUUCCCUGGAACGGGACGCCAUAGAGGGUGAGAGCCCCGUCUGGUUGGAUGCCAAAUCUCUGUAAAGUUCCUUCGACGAGUCGAGUAGUUUGGGAAUGCUGCUCUAAAUGGGAGGUAUAUGUCUUCUAAAGCUAAAUACCGGCCAGAGACCGAUAGCGCACAAGUAGAGUGAUCGAAAGAUGAAAAGCACUUUGAAAAGAGAGUUAAAAAGUACGUGAAAUUGUUGAAAGGGAAGCGUUUAUGACCAGACUUGGGCUUGGUUAAUCAUCUGGGGUUCUCCCCAGUGCACUUUUCCAGUCCAGGCCAGCAUCAGUUUUCCCCGGGGGAUAAAGACUUCGGGAAUGUGGCUCUCUUCGGGGAGUGUUAUAGCCCGUUGUGUAAUACCCUGGGGGGGACUGAGGUUCGCGCAUCUGCAAGGAUGCUGGCGUAAUGGUCAUCAACGACCCGUNU